AGCUCGAGGACGACAAAGCACACCUGGUGCCGCCUCCCACUUGUCAGCAGAGUCCUUCCCCCCUGCAAGCAAAUGGCGGUCAUGAUAACAAAACCUGCACCGGUGGCUGCAGCAAGCAAGUUUUCACUUCAAAUAAUUUUCAUCACACAUUUGAGCUGUGAUUCUUCAAAAUAUUACCAGGAGAUAAUCAUUUGUUUUUGGAUGCUUUUGUGUGCAUGUGUGAAGAAAUAAGAAUGUUGUGGAGGCUGCUUCGAAGGGGAGUACUACCAGAGUUGCAUUCAAAACAAAAUCAGAGCUUGAGAUAUUGGAUGACGGAUACAAGUGGAGGAAGUAUGGAAAGAAGAUGGUAAAGAACAGCCCAAAUCCAAGGAAUUAUUAUCGCUGCUCAAGUGCAGGAUGCAAAGUCAAGAAGAGAGUGGAGAGAGAGCGUGAAGACUCAAGCUAUGUGUUAACCACCUAUGAGGGUGUCCAUAAUCACCAUGCUCCCUUACCUGUAACAUCUCGACCUCAAGCACCUGAUACACCUCAAUUCCAUGAUUUCUCUUCAUGAUAAAUAUUUGUAUUUUGUAAUGACAAUCAAGAGAGUGCUUUCACAAACUAAAGUUGGCUGAUGGUCUGUCAAGGUACCAAACAGGGUUGGCGGCACUGUUUUGAACUGAGCGGUUCUAAUCGUACCGAGACAUCCCGGUCCGCAACGGAAACGAAAUCGUCCCGGCAGCGGACCGGGAUGGCUCCGGCAACGGAAACGAAAUCGUCCCGGCAGCGGACCGGGACGGCUCCGGCAACGGAAACGAAAUCCGUCGCCCAAGGAGGAGAAAGAGAAGAAAAGAGAGGACGAGGGAGGAAGAGGGAGAAGAAGGAAGAGAGAGGGAGGUGGAGGCCGGUCGGCGAACUGCACGGAGAAAGCUCCUUCGGGCUCCAUGGUCGGGUCCCCUAUUUCGUUCGAAACAGGAGUCCGGCCCAUUUUUUAUUUUUGUGACUUUUAAGUGAAGUCGGCAAGAAGGGACUCAGUGGCAGAGCCCUCCUCCGCCGCCUCCGUGCCGGCCUCCGCCACCCUCCUCUCUCCCCCCCUUCUCUCUUUUUAUCUCCCGUUCGCCCUCUCUCCCGCCUCCUCUACGGGGCCGGCACGAAACCGUACAGAGCGUACCGUUCCGUGCUGCCGGGCAAUCGGUCCGGGCCCCAGUUCCAGCACUGGUACCAAGAUGUAUAUUUUUACAACUUAACAGAUGUCAUUGCAUAGCAGUCACACAUUGGAUCAUUCUCUCAUUUUUGAUCCACUGCAAGAUAUGUUUAACUUCAAUAAUGAGAAUAAUAGAAAGGGCAGCGCACAGGCCAUGAACUAAGGGAGACAUUAUGCUUUUUCUAGAUAUCAAUUAAAGACAGGUACUGGAGGCUCAUAGCCUACUAAGAUGGUGUACUGCCUACGUACUUCACCAAUCAAAAGAACUGAGAGUUUUCAACUAAAAUGUACAUUUAGGUAUAUGAUAGUCAUUUUUGCAUCAAGUGCUGUUGCUUCAACAUUAUUUUAAAUCCUAGUGUGCACCUCUUCAAAAUGAAGACAGUAUCUGAUAUUUUGGGGAAUGGAUAUUGAAAAACAUGGGGGCACGAGAUUAUGAUUUUUGCAUUGUGGGUUUUCAGGGCUGCGAUGUCUAUUGGAAAUUGACUCGUUGAUUAUAUAAUGCUAUGGAAAUAUUAUUUAGUCAUUUUGGAAGAUACAGAAUCACGCAAACAUGGUGCACAACUAGCCAAAUAUUGCAUGCACAUGAAGACCAGUACACCCAUUCUUGCACCUAGAGAUGACUCAAAAGGAACCAACAAAAUAUUGCAUGCACAUGCAGAUUAGGAAACCCAUUAUUGUGUCAAGACAUAACCCAAAAGAAGUAUGUCAAAACCGUACACAUUACAGCAACCCUGCUCUGUUGAAAGCCUGGAUGUAAUGUAAGUCGCAUGCGCGCGGGCCAGAGAGAGUCAAGGAUGUCGAAAGCUGCUUCCUGAUUUCAGAGUCCACACUCCACACCUAGUAAUGUCCUCAAACCAAAAACUGUAAUCAUGCAAAAGAUUUCGAUGCUAAAUCAUAACAAUAAAUUAAUAUAAUUAUAAGCUGAUUUGCUCUUGUUUUCCUCUUCAACAAUCUCUGCCAAUUAAUCAUUCCAUAUCUGAUAUAUCAACAAGGUUCAUGUAGGACUAUCUUACAGUAGGAGGUGACAAGUAUGCUAGCAUCAAUAGCUGUAUUCCCUUCCAUUGCCAUUUCUAGUUGCCCAUAGAAUCUCGCUUUGUAUGUGAUCAUCUAUCAUCUUGUUGCCAAAUAUAAAUGGAAUGAGCAAAAGGAUACCCUUUCAAUUUCCUUAUGGAGUAGUAGAUCAAUAGCAAUCGCUAGAAGCAGGAUUGAGCUGAACUAAAUGUUUUCUACAAACUGGCCCAAGUAUGACUUCCUGUUUCAGGUCCACAAGCAGCUUUUUUGUUUACCAUUUGAAACCUAAGUGUAACAUCCUCACAAUCGAACAGAGUACCAAACCAUGCAAACAGAGUUCUGUAUGAGUAGUGCUGAUUAAAGGGUAGGAUCUUGGGAAUGGGUCACACAUAAACUUCAAUUAGGAUAAUUCUUAUGUUAAAGAUGAAGCUUUGCAAUAAAAGAACCACAAAGAACUUCAAUGAAAAAGAUAAAAGAAAAAACAAGAUACAUUUUCUUAUCUACUUAUCUCUCUUCCUUUUUUUUCUUCUUUUUUUUUCUCUUUUAUUUUCUUUAAAGAAAGAUUCUAUCAGCAAAAGUCAAUUGAAGGGAAGAAAAAAUAGAAUCAGCAAAAAUUGUAGACCUUUUCCAAGAUGUCAUUCUCAACUCUGGUACAACCCCCCCACCCUCCUUUGCACAUUAUCAUAAACUCCCAAACAGCAUAGAGGUCAUUAAUUCAGAGAUGAUGUGCAUGUGUUUUUUCCUCUCUCUUUUUGAGGGGGAAGGGGAGAGGGGUGUUGUUUCGAUCGACAGGGAGGAAUAAACUGGCAAGGAUCUAAUACACACUGUCCUACCUCCAAAUACUUGAACCUAAAAUCCUACCAAAUGAUCAGAAGCAUCCAAAAUUCUGCUAAGCAAGAUAAUAACAUCCCACAGGGGUUUAGGAGCGACCAAUUUCUACCCAAGUAUAUCUUUAUGUCAAGAUCUAGCAAAAGUAACUAGUUUGCACACUGUAAAUUAACCAAUGCCCAUGUAGCUCAAGCAAGUUAAUAGAUCCAUCCCUUUUAACCAGUAUACAUGGAAUGAGAAGAGGUUCCCCUUUAACUAUAUUCAAAUUCCUUCAUCAAAUAUAGGAUGACUUGGAGAUAGAGCCAUCAGAAUUUACCUUGCAGUCUUGCACCAGCUGACUUCAAGUUUAGGCUUACACAACAGAUCUCGUAUAGCUACCCACUCUGAUAAAAUGGCUGCUGUAAUUAUUAGUAAUUCUCGCAUGAUCAUUGCUUUAUUCGAUUUUAGACCUUCAAGUCUGCAUAGCAGCUUGGAUAUCUAUCAUAGUACUCCUAAUCACUUGUAUGUUAAAGGUUGAUUCCUCAGAAGUUUAGAAACCCUGCCUCUUUAAGGGAUACUACUGAACCCAAUAUACUACUUCGAUCCUAGGCUUUAUACAGAUAAAUUGAAUUGAAUAAAAAUGUUUUUGCUACCAAAUAAAAUAUGUAACGAAUGAAGAAAGGAUUCUUUAUAAAAUAAUUGUCACAAGCCAGUAAGACUCAGGCAACAAUAUUUCCUAUAAAUAACAACAAUGGAUAUGUCAUAGUUAUCUAGGCCUCUGACACAAGGAGAAACAAAGGAAUAUAU